AAUUCCCUGCCAUGCUCGCGUUUGAAUUGACCAGUUUUUGAACCAAUAAGGUCGGAUUUGGGAGCUCUUCCUUGGUGUGGUGAGCACGCCUUUCUACUUGUAGAAGGGAAGCCUAAAGCACGAAUAGGGUUCCCCCCUAGACAAGGGUUCGAUACUUACAAUUCACACGGCAUUUAGGCGGGGUUUUU
rnacentral:other from 1 species